CAGCCUAAGAACAUCUUCAGCGGUCUCCCUUUUCUAUCCCAAAUGAGAAAUUUUGGUUGUUUUAUACAAAAUGUUUUAGUAGUAUUAGCACGGGCAAUAUAGUAGUAAUGAAUAAUACAAUAGUAAACUUAUUCAGUUAGCCACAACUACUGUUAAGUUUGAGAACAAUGUGGUACUGACUCCAUUAUAAAAUAUCACGAGCAAUGAGUGUAAGGCUUGGCGCGAUAUUUAUCUUGUCACAAUAGCAUCCAUGAAGGAUUCUACUAAAUGGGUGCUUAGCAGUUUCAGUACA
rnacentral:lncRNA from 1 species